GAAUGCAAAUCGCAGAACUGUAUGAAUGAAAACGCAAAAGUGUGAAAUCUCUGAAUUGAAAAAGAAUCUCCAUUCAAAAUGUAGUUCUUCAAUUAGAUGCACGCGCGCGAAAAUUACAGUUGAAAAAAUUGGACCUCCGAGUUUUUUGAAGCAGGCGGAUGCUUUUUGAGGAAGAAUUUGACUUUUCAAGUAUGUUUUCUUUUGCAAUGUGUGUUUUUUCCCCUUUUUAGGGUUUCUACUUGACGGGUGUUGUACCUUUAAUUCAAAUUUGGAAACUAUUGAUUUAUGCUUUUGUUAUGUUUUUAUUGGAAGUACUGAUUUGCUACUUUUGCAUUUGUUCUCGAAUACAUUGUACAAUUUUAUUUUAUUUUUUUUUAUUUUUUUUUGGGGGUCUUUCGCGGGAAUUCUGAAGGUGGGAAAAAAUUACUAAGUGCAUGUCCAAUCUAUACGAUUAGACAUGAGUGAACAAUGCAGUGAAUUUCAAACUUCUAUUUGUUUCCGAAUAUUGCCCUAGUACAUAACUUUGUAAAUAUUACAAGCAUAUAAUGUUGGCUAGAAAAGGAAUGAUACAUCCUAUGUUUAUACAAAGAUACAAGGGGAAAAAAAAAAUUGUUUCUCAACACCAUUUCUAAUUAUUGUGUACACUAAAUAUCCUACUAGUAACAUUUCAACAAAGAUCACAUAUUUGAAUUGGUGAUUUGGUCAGGGUCAAUUACAAUUCCAUGAAUUUGCUGUCUUCGGCCCAAAAUACUUAUGCCAGAUGUGGGAGCAGAUGUUGCUCUUAGUUGUACAUGAGGG
rnacentral:lncRNA from 1 species